rnacentral:rRNA from 1 species
GCUGUGGAAACCUCCUUGAUUGGUGGUAGAAGCGCUUCCGCAUUCAACACAUGCAUAUGCCCCUGUCCGUGGAGGUUACUGUGAACAAAACAGCGUGUCCAAAGCAACCACAUGUCUGGCUGAAUGAUCUAGCAUGGAUAACAAGGCAUCGACCACUGGAGUCAGCCUUUUUGUUGGUUUUACAUGACCCAGUUGGGCAAUGCAGGGCUUGUGCUUCAUUGAGGUUCUUAGUCAGCUCUACCGAACUGUCUUCCCUCAGUUGGACCUUGUUCCCUAUCGGGAUCAAUGGAAGCCAUCGGGGUGGUAUGUAUUCCGACGUGAGCGGUGAAAUGCUUAGACCGUUGGAAGACAAACGACAGCGAAGGCAUUCCGCCAGAAUGUUUUCAUUAAUCAAGAACGAGAGUGUGGGGAUCGAAGAUGAUCAGAUACCAUCGUAGUCCAUUACCGUAAACUAUGCCAACUCGGCAUUGGGAGUCUGUUCACUUUGAAGACUCUCCCAGCAUCAUCCCCCAAUAACGAGAAAUCCAAGUCUAUGGGUUCAGGGGGGAGUACAGUCGCAAGGCUGAAACUUAAAGGAAUUGACGGAAUGACACCACAAGGCGUGGAGUAUGCGGCUUAAUUUGACUCAACACGGGGAAGCUUACCAGGUCAGACACAGUAAGGAUUGACAGAUUGAGAGCUCUUUCUUGAUCCUAUGGAUGGUGGUGCAUGGCCGUUUCUGGUUCGUGGAGUGAUCUGUCUGCUUAAUUGCGAUAACGAACGAGAUCUCUACCUCUAAAUAGGCGCCGGUCUCGCAUGUAAGUAGGGAUGUGUUGGGGGCCUUCGUGUCCCCUCAUGUCCUGAGAGUGCCGGGAUCGCUUCUUAGACGGACUGUGCAUGUCUUUAAUGCACGGAAGAGGGAGUCAAUAGCAGGUCUGUGAUGCUCCUAGAUGUUCUGGGCUGCACGCGCACUACACUGGCACAGUAAACGAGUUGCACCUGCUUCGGCAGUCCUGCUUAGAAGUGAGCGUGGGAAAUCUUAGAAAACUGUGCCGUGCUGGGGAUAGAUGAUUGCGAUUAUUUGUCUUGAACGAGGAAUGCCUAGUAGAGGUACUUCAUCAGAGUACCUUGAUUGUGUCCCUGCCAUUUGUACACACCGCCCGUCGUUGCUACCGAUUGGCUGUAAAAUAGAGGCCUUAAGAGUCGCUUCCGCAAAGCUUUGCUUUUGAGGUUGUGACAAAUCUGGCCAAUAUUUCAUUGCUAGAGGAAGCAAAAGUCGUAACAAGG